rnacentral:rRNA from 1 species
CCUACGGGGGGCUGCAGUGGGGAAUAUUAGACAAUGGGGGCAACCCUGAUCCAGCCAUGCCGCGUGUGUGAAGAAGGCCCUCGGGUUGUAAAGCACUUUCAGUGAGGAAGAACGCCUGGUGGUUAAUACCCAUCAGGAAAGACAUCACUCACAGAAGAAGCACCGGCUAACUCCGUGCCAGCAGCCGCGGUAAUACGGAGGGUGCGAGCGUUAAUCGGAAUUACUGGGCGUAAAGCGCGCGUAGGUGGCUUGAUAAGCCGGUUGUGAAAGCCCCGGGCUCAACCUGGGAACGGCAUCCGGAACUGUCAAGCUAGAGUGCAGGAGAGGAAGGUAGAAUUCCCGGUGUAGCGGUGAAAUGCGUAGAGAUCGGGAGGAAUACCAGUGGCGAAGGCGGCCUUCUGGACUGACACUGACACUGAGGUGCGAAAGCGUGGGUAGCAAACAGGAUUAGAUACCCUGGUAGUC